rnacentral:rRNA from 1 species
UUCCGGUUGAUCCUGCCGGACCUGACUGCUAUCGGAUUGAUACUAAGCCAUGCGAGUCAUUGUAGCAAUACAAGGCAGACGGCUCAGUAACGCGUAGUCAACCUACCCUAUGGACGGGGAUAACCUCGGGAAACUGAGAAUAAUACCCGAUAGAACAUUAUACCUGGAAUGGUUUAUGUUUCAAAUAAUUUAUUGCCGUAGGAUGGGACUGCGGCCUAUCAGUUUGUUGGUGAGGUAAUGGCCCACCAAGACUAUUACAGGUACGGGCUCUGAGAGGAGUAGCCCGGAGAUGGGUACUGAGACACGGACCCAGGCCCUAUGGGGCGCAGCAGGCGAGAAAACUUUGCAAUGUGCGAAAGCACGACAAGGUUAAUCCGAGUGGUUUCUGCUAAAGGAACCUUUUGACAGUCAUAGAACCACUGUUGAAUAAGGGGUGGGCAAGUUCUGGUGUCGGCCGCCGCGGUAAAACCAGCUCUUCAAGUGGUCGGGAUAAUUAUUGGGCUUAAAGUGUCCGUAGCCGGUAUAGUAAGUUCCUGGUAAAAUCAGGUAGCUUAACUAUCUGUACGCUAGGAAUACUGCUAUACUAGAGGGCGGGAAAAGUCUGAGGUACUACGGGGGUAGGGGUGAAAUCUUAUAAUCCUUGUAGGACCACCAGUGGCGAAAGGCGUCAGACUGGAACGCGCCUGACGGUGAGGGACGAAAGCCAGGGUAGCGAACCGGAUUAGAUACCCGGGUAGUCCUGGACGUAAACGAUGCACACUAGGUGAUGGUGCGGUCAUGAGCCGUAUCAGUGCCGUAGGGAAACCGUUUAGUGUGCCGCCUGGGAAGUACGGUCGCAAGGCUAAAACUUAAAGGAAUUGGCGGGGGAGCACCACAGGGGUGAAGCCUGCCGGUUCAAUUGGACUCACGCCGGU